rnacentral:rRNA from 1 species
AGACGUCUACAUUAGAUACCCGGGUAGUCCCAGCCGUAAACUAUGCGCGUCAGGUGUAUCGGUGACCACGAGUUACCGAGGUGCCGAAGGGAAACCGUGAAACGUGCCGCCUGGGAAGUACGGUCGCAAGGCUGAAACUUAAAGGAAUUGGCGGGGAGCACCACAACGGGUGGAGCCUGCGGUUUAAUUGGACUCAACGCCGGGAAGCUCACCGGAUAAGACAGCAAUAUGUAGGCCAGGCUGAAGACCUUGCCUGAAUCGCUG